UCGUUUCGUUUUCAUUUCUCUUUUGGAGCACAAGCCUCAGGAUACAGACUCUUGGUUUCCAAUCGUCAGAGAGGUCUUAACGUCACACAUAGAUUGCGUGGAAUGAUUGUGGUAUUUGGUAAACUUGCACCGUCUCUCACUUAUGGAAAGCCCACCAGUAACACUUGACACUUCACACACGUUGUAUGCUAUGCUCACAGACUGAGAGGGAUUCAGAAGGCAUUAAGUAGAUAUAAUUGUAAAAAGCCCUUGACCUAGCAAAGUAGGACUAUAACAUCUAGGUGUGACAAUAGUCUUUAAAGAAGUCUUUACUUUUAAAGCAUACGUUUUUUAAUUAUGAAGAAGAGUGAGGAGGAAAGAAAUCCCCCCCCCCCGACGUCCUUCCCUGCCCUCACUGCCCUUUUGUUCACAUCCGGCAAUGGAGCCUGCAGCCUUCUGAGUGUGGAGUGGGGGCCAGCACUUUCCCACUGAGCCAUAUUCCCAGCCUGCGCACAUUUUGUAGAAUUGACUCUAAACUCUACAUGACGUAGGAAGUCGUAGGAUUACCUACCACUCAGAGGAGCAGGAUGUGCACCAACGGCUGAGGUCAUUUGGAAACAUGUCACCUGUUCCCAGAGAACCGUGGCUUCCGCAGUAUUCAGCAGCUGCCGUUACUGCUUAUGUAGUAAAUGGGAAUCAGUAUGCAGUCAAGGUGGACUUACUACUAUACCGCUCGGGUCAGCAUCAAGGUUAUAUGGUCCAUCCAUAUAUGACAGACAGCACUUUAGCUGACAUUGGCAAUUAGAAGUAAAACGACCCAGAAAUCUUCCAAGAAUAUAUUUAUUACCAUAUAAGCAUACACACCAUUGUUACUUAUUAACAAAUGGAAUAAAUUUACUUAAAUAGCUUGUUUUGCUCAGUCCACUGAAGUAUUUUUGUAAGCUAUUUGUAAAUUUCACAGAUUGGUGAUUGCAAUCAAAAUUUGAGUGAUUUCCAAAAAUUAACUUAAUAAAAAUGUUGUAUUUGCAUGCCUAUGUUCUUUUUAGUACAGAACACUUUUUAGUAACAUCACAAAUAAGGGCAAUUUGUUGAAGGGGUUUCUAGUGUUUGCUUUAAAUGAUUUUAUUGUUUAUAUGCAUAUAUGUACAUGUGUGUGCAUGCACACGUGCAUGUAUUCAUUGGCAUUUAUACCAAGUUCAGCAAAGUUGAAAUGGUGGUGACUUUGCCAUUUCAAAAAGAACAGCCUCUCUCCUUGGACCCUCCUGUCCCAGUGACCUUCAUGACACAGGAGACCCUCAGAUAUUGUACUCACCGGGACUUUUCACUGUCUCUGUUUCAAACCUCAGCACUCAGGAUUUGUUUAAAGGCAAAACAUUUUGGACACAUUAUGCAUUAUGGUAAAACGCAUCAUACUUCCAUCUUGGCUCACUAUGAAUUACUAAUUUGUCAAGGUCAGAAACCUUACAUCCAGGAACCGGAAAUGCAAAAAUACAUUUUUUAACAUUUUUGGUGAUUUCUUUUUUUCGGCUUGCCAAAUGACCAUAAUUUUACAAUUUGUAUUAAUGUUAUCUUAAAGAGCAAAUUAAUUAAUGGAAAUUUCCAGAGAAGUAGACAUUAUGCCGUCACUUUGCAUGCUGGCUUUGUUUCACUUCUUGCUUUUACAGUCUGGCCUUUUCAUGAAAUUCUCUGGGAAUACUAGUUCAUAGUGUCAAGGGACCUGUACUGACUCUCCCUGUAUCUGUCUUGGAUGAUUUGGGAGUGCUGGGUCUUUAAGAGUCAUUGUAGUGGCCAUCUUUAACAUUGCCUGCUACACAUUUCUGCUGUAUUGGUUUAAUUUGUUAACUCACCACAAGAGUUCCUUAGACUGAGAUUUGGGGGCUGGAGAUGUAGCUCAAAGGUGGAGCAGCGACCUGCCACGUAUCAGGUCCUAGUUUUGGGCAGGGGACAAUUAAGGGGACAUGUAUUACCAGCUUCUGGGGCUUGAGGCGAGGGUACCAGACAGCAUGGUGUAUUCUUAGUCUCACAGGAACCUUGAGUACGGGGUUUUCUCAGUAAACUAAUGUGCAGGCACCAACUUACAGCAUUCUCCAUGAAUCCUAUUGCCUCCUGCAGGCCUAGUGAAGAAUGUCCUGCCAAAGAGUCACCCAGUUUCUACCAAGUGUCUCAUGUUCUCUCAGAAUGGCAUUAGAGGGAACAGAAGUGCAUCUUGACCCGUGUCUGUAUUCUGUGGAAAAUGAGAAGUCAGAGCACCAGGACCGUACGGGAGCUAGGGAGAAGGCCAAUGAAUCCACGCCCGGCUGAGUCCUUCAUGUUCACGCCUUAUUCAAACUCUACAGUUUAGUUUGGUCUGGAUUGGGUAAACAUCAUUUGAAGUCAUUUGCUCUGCAGAAGUUUGAGAAAUGUGACAACUGAGUUGUGUGGUUCAUCCUUUCACAGAAGCCACAGAUGCUGUUUUUCAAAAUAAAAAUGAAAUGGAAGAUUCUUCAGUUUUGCUCACUAACCUUGAAAAAGACCUAUAGAGAAAAAAAAAUCCAAAACUAGUCUGGUCCUAUGAAGGGUGUGUUUAUUUCCCCUUGGUUAAAGUUACAUUUAAGCUUUUGCUCGUGUUCCUUUGUUUGUGGAGGAGCAUCUUACUGAGUAGCCCUGGCUACCCUGGAACUUGCCUCUGACUCUGGAGUGCUGGGACUAAAGGUAUUCACCAUCAUACCAUCAUGCCCAGCCCUAAGAUCCACCGCCCUCUCCCACUUCCAUUCCCAGUCCUUUUUCCCUCCUCCUGCCUCCUCCCCCCAACCCCCCACUUCUCUCCAAGAGUCUUAUGCAUGCUGUGUGUUCUAACACUGAGCCAAGUGUGCCUUCCAACUUUCCAAGAGCAACAGAAAUGGGGAAGCUCUUAAGAGAUUGCCAAUACUGAGAACAACACCUAAUGAGGCCAGGGAGAACUCACUGAAUCCAAAGCCGGCCAGUUACUCCUCCUCCAUACCUGGCCCUGACAUCCUAGGGUCUUUCUCUGUCUUCUCCUCUCAACAGUAAGUAAUUUCACUCCAGGAUUACCACUCCCACAGAGACAUCCUUCCUUCCCAACUCUAUUGCACCUCCUCAAUGAAGAAUUCAACCGUUUUAAAGUGAAAUCACCUCAAGCAACAACCAUGUCCAUAUCCCCCACCUCAGUUCUGACAAAAAAAAUUCUUAUGAGGAAGAAGGGUCUCACGGUCUCUGAUAAGUACUGAAGAAAGAUAAUGAAAAAUCUCCUGUGGAAUGUUCCAGGUUCCCACCAUCAAUUGUAGUGAUACGAUAUAGGGCAGAAGGUAGAACUACAUCACUCUUGAACCAGCCUUCCCUUCCAGACAAAACAAUCAACUCAAGAGACAAAGACCUCAGGUCAACUGGGCAUAACUAAACUAUACUAUUAGUUAACAGGUGGGCUCCAAAUGCAGACACUAGUUUAUAAUUAAUUUUGUGAAAGUCUAGUCAUUCUCUGUAGUUAGAAAAUGAAUCUUGGGUUAGAGUCAGUCCCUCUACCCCUCAUUGGCAGAUUGUAGGGAUAAAGUAAUAGGCUAGAUUUCUUGGCUACCUAGAGAUACUUUUCUGUGAGGAUCCCACUUCGUGUAUUUAGUUGGGGUGGAAGUUGUGGGCAGGUCGAGAGAGAAAAAAGCACCACCUCUGUAUCAGAUGCUGACGUUCCAAGGUUUCUUUCUCUCAGGACAGGAGUGUGCUGAUGUGUGCUGGUAGCUGCCGGGUAGUUUAGGGCCUGCAUCUCUUUUUGCCUACUGAUGUCCAAGCCCAAGCAGAUGAGCUAUGCCUUAUUAAAUAUUUUUCUUUUUUUCUCUAUUUUAAUCUUCCUCCAAGAGUGCUGGAGAGUAAGCGGGACCAGCAUGGGGCCCCUGGAUUGAUCUCUGUUUGUUCCUUCUAAUCCCGCCUAUAGUAGAUGUUCUUGCCUGGAACAGUUUGUUUUUAGAUCUGAGAGAGCCCUGGGUUUCCCAUCACCACCUUACAUGGAAAUGUGUAGACUGUAAGAAUAAGUUCUUUAGAAAAGUGAGCUAGAGUUUUUGUUGUUGUUGUUAUUCUUGUUGUUUUUUUAAGUGUGUGUUUCAGCCUUGGCAGUGGAUUCUUUGGCAGUUGUGUGGCCCAGAGGGAACCAGACGCAGAGAAAAGUCAAGCCAGGUAUGUUGUGCCUGCCUGCACCUGCUUCUGAUGUACCCCACUGCCUGCAUCCAAGUCCUGUGCACUGGGCUAGAAUAAUGUGGAAAUGGCAGGUGUGCAUGGAGUAUCUGCCUGCCCAUCAGCUCUGUGAUAAAUCGGGAAAAUAAUGGCAUAGAGAAGUUAACUUGCCCAACCAUGAACAAAAUAUUAGAAGCUGCAUCUUUGAGACUGUGUAAGCGUAUGUUCAGGCCGGGCACAGGUCUCAGUUUUCAAAAAAGCAGCCUUACACAGCAGCCUAAUCUAUCAAUUACAAGCAAAUAUGUUUGCUGUGAUUCGGGCAAGACAACAUCGGCUGCACCCUUCCUCAUCCUCUCUACGACACCUUCAGCACCGUCAUGCAGUUUGGCCUGCUCUUCAGAGAGGGAAACCCUGUGACCUACAAAAUGCUGUAGCCCCAGCCCACUCUGUAUUCUUCACCUUGGUAAAUAAUUCACUCAACAAACAUACUGUGUAGCUAUUGAGUGCUAGACUCGAGGAAUACAAAGAUAAAUAAACACUGUCUGUCAUGAGGAAGCUCGAGCGAGAGGAGGAAGACAGGGAAGAUAAAAGUCAAAGAGAGCAGGCACUGUUGUAACAGGAUCCUUCCUUCAGGUCCGUCCACCCAAGAGAGAAAAAGGCUUGUCCUUUUAGCAGAUGGGAAAAGUAAAGUCUGAAGGGAGGGAGGCCCUGUCAUGCUUCUCUUGAGAAAUGCAAAGAGAAGUGACACCUGGUCUCGGGAAUGCCAAAACCUAGGGAAUGCAUGCAGCCCGCACGCAGUUUGUUGUAAAUCUGCAGAAGCAUAAACUCUCUAUACAGAGCAGGAUUCAAAAUGUAAAUCGCUUCAAUCAAAAGGGAAAAUUCCAUAGAAACCUACAGGUUAAGCUAUUAGAAGUAUCUCCAUCGGAGCACCACCCUUCAGAAGCACGAUUAAACUCCUAAUAUCUCUGUCCCUGUUCCCAGUCUCUUUCAGAUACAGGGGUAGCCGUUCAGAUUUCCAGUCCACCGAGGUAGAAGCAAGCCUCCCUCCCGGCUAUUCGUAGAGAAUAAUAAGGUGUGGGUGAGAUGUACCUGCCUAAGAAGGGGGCUGUCUAACAGUUGUAAUGAGCUGUGAUGUUAUCCCCAAUGAGCUGUGUGUGAGAGACCUUAGGCAAAUCAAUUAACCUUUGCUGGUUACAAUUUGCUCAUCAGUAAAAAUAGAGGUUUUGGACCUUUCAUUCCCAAGGGCUCUUCUUCGUUGUCGAGGUGUCGCGUCAGCACCUUGAGAGGCCACUCUGCUGAGUGGGAGGUUUGAGCAGCCUCAGAAUCAACCUGCCAUUCCGAACCUGCCGAGUAUUCCAUGGGCAUGGCAAUAUUAAAGCUAGAGGGAACCUUCCCGAUUUCUUGGGCACAAAGAAUCAGGAAUGUUUCUUCGCAUAAAACAUUGAAUUUGUGUGAGUGUAUGUUCAUGUCUGUCUGUGGAGACUAGAGAUCAACCCUGAGUUCUGCCUUGUUUGUUGAGACAGGGCCCUUCUCUGACCUGGGACUCAUCAGUAACAGCUCGACUCCCAGCAAGCCUCAAGGGAUCUAUCUGCCCAUCUUGGCUUCUCCGGCAUUGGGAUUGAGUGCCUGGCACCAUCCCUGGUUCUUCUGCAUAGGUUAAAAACGGCCGACUCAGGACCUCAGGCAGACACUUUAUAACUGAAAUAUUAACCCAAUAAAUAUUAAUUGAUUUUAGGCCUCUAUUUUAAUUAUAAUUAGGCCAAGCAGAUUGGGAGGUUAGCAAAUAGGCCUUACUAGUUAGAAGCUAUGAACCUGCAUAUACCUCCACUGACCCAUGAUGGAGAGACACUGGAGAAAAUUCUCGGUGAAUGUAAAUGGCAGGCCCGACAUGAGAUAAGAAUUUAGGUCUGUACUGUACCCUUUCUGGCCAGGGGAGGUAAGAGAUUCUUUCCUCCUACAGAGCACAAAAUUGAUACCACAGCAACACACCUUGGCAUUGGGGAUUUUAGUCUCCAGGUAUCUGCAGAAACUUGAAUUCCUUGGAAAGCAAAACACUCACAAUUUCUUGACCAGCCUUGCUGAUAAUUUCAUUUCCCAGAAGGCAGAGUAAGCAUUAAGGAGACUUCUGCUCAGGACCCAAUUCUGACAGAAAGCAGUAGGUAAAGUAGAAAUGAUUGGAACCUUGGGGGAAAGCAGCCAUGCAGGCUCCGAGUUUGAUUUAAACAGUGUUCUGCCUAUGCAAACACAAAUGGUUCUAAUGAGCAGGAAAACGGGGAGGAAACUAAAGGAACCAGCACGCCACACGGGGACUUGCUGACAGCCUCUGAAUCUCAAGCAGCAUGUGCAAGAGACGGGGAGAGGGGCACACAAGAGGGAACACAUACGGAAGCAGGAAUGGAGGAAGGCAGCGUGGACCUGUAAGCCCUCAGCAAGACUGGGGCACAGAAUGAGCCGAGGCUCCUGGAGGAUGCUGGAAAGAAGCAAAAAACGCUGUUGCUUGGCACAGAAUCAGGGGAAACAGCAACCAAGGAACAGACCCAGACCUUGACACGGAAGACUAAUUCAUUCAUGAAAGUAGGAAAGCAGAUGCAAAAGAAGUGCAUCCUUUUGUGCAUCUUCCCUUUAGGUCAUCCACCCCUUGGCUCACGUGUCACCUCCUCGGAGAGGACCUUGACCACACCUUUGGAAAACAGUUUCCCCUGAUAUCUUUUUGCCCUUUGACUUUUCAGUCUCCUGGCUGCUGGUGCCGUCAUCUUACGCACUGAAAUGUUUGCUUUCUGUCCCGGAAUUUAAGCUCCGCUUGGAAAGGGACCUCUGUUCUCGCUCAUGCCUGUCUAGGACCUUGCACAUAACAAGCAGUACUCGGUGGGCAUGAGCUCGGCGAGUGGAGUCAGUACCACAAGGCUAGCUUUGUAAACAGAGAAAUAUAUGAAGGCACUGGACAACUUCCACAGAACAUAGACAACGUGAUUGACAUGGUGGCAGCUAAAUAUGGCCUUGGAAUGUCACCCUUCUGUUUUGCAUGUUGAAUGCACCACAGUUUCUUUAUACAGAGCCUGAGGCUGAACCCAGGCUUCAUACCUGCAAGGUAAGUGUCCUCCGAGCUGAGACUCAUCCCCAGUUCUAGAGACAGUGUCUCGAUAACAUAACUCACGCAUUCCUUUCUCAGGAGAUGCCGACAAAAGUCUGGGAGCAGCUUGGCAUCAUUUGAUUCCAUCCAGAUUACAAUUUAUAAAGCUCAGAAUGUCCAAAGUACGAGCCAGGAAAAAAAAAAAGAAGAAGAAGAAGCCAAAGAGUAAUUGUUGAAUAUUUCAUUUUUAUUUUUUACUGAGACCUUACAGACUGCAAGCAGAUCUAGUAAAAUAUUUCUCUACUGAGUACAAGGGACACUCAGCAUCGGGAGAGCACAGCACAGGUAGCUCUUCACUUCUGCAGCAGUCUGUUUGCACAGGAUGCAGGGAUGGGCAACAGGAGCCAGCCUCACUUGCUCAAUCAAGUCCCAGGUGGCCCCUGGCUCCUGGGAUCUGAGUGCAAGUGGUAGCCCUGAGAAGUGACCUUUGGCAUGACCUUGUAUCCUAUGCACACCUUUGCCUCUAUGCAGGCUCCCACACAUGCCACUCCCACCUUCUGAGUUUCUAAAUAGAUAACCAAAUGAGCAUACUCAUUUACAUAUUGUUAUGGAUCCUGAACUCAGUCUCACAAAUGUGAGGCGAACAUUCGACCACUGAGUUCCACUUUACACACACACAGACAAACUAACACUUAUGUUAUCUAAGUAAAACGUUCUAUAAACACAAGAAGGAUGCCUUUUUUUUUUUUUUACAUUUUCCUAGAUUAUAUAACACUUAAAAUACUAGGCACAAAACAAAUAUUUAGUGACUUAAUCAAUUUGGCAGAUAGGCACAACAAGCUUUUGCUUUUGAAUCUAAGGAUGAUCAACAAGACUCUGAUUUUAUACAGAGUGAAGUUGAAUGCAUCACAAUUGUAUUAUUUGUUUCUCUUCUUUUUUAAUGUUUUAUUUAUUCAUUCAUUCAUUUAUUUAUGUGAGUAUACUGUCACUGUCUUCAUGCAUACCAGAAGAGGGCAUCGGAUCCCAUUACCGAUGGUUGUGAGCCACCAUGUGGUUGCUGGGAAUUGAACUCAGGACCUCUGGAAGAGUAGUCAGUGCACUUAACCACUGAGCCAUCUCAGCCCCCUUGUUGCUCUUCUCUAUAAACUCACGUUCUUAUCUUGAGUCGAUACUAAAACCUAUUCCCCUUCUCAUUAAACCAGGUUUCACAGCUUUUGAUUGCCUAUGAAUCCAAAAUUUAAGGCAGAAACAGGAGGACAGAGUUCAAGGUCAUCUUAGAUCACCAAUUGAGUUCCAGGCCAUCCUUGUAUAAAUCGGAUCCUAUCUCAGCAUCAGUCAAUCAGUUACCCCAAACUUUUGAUGCACAGCUCUAGUUAGGAACCAUAGACAGCAGACUUCAGCUGGGUAAAUAGUGCAGAGCUGAUUUUGCUGCCAACGAUCCAGGGAGUUUACUAGAAAACUAUGGAUGCUUUCAUCAGAAUGGAAAGAAGCUGAGUUUUGCUAGAAUACUUCAGGCAUGAAGAACAGAACCUAUACUAAGCCAGUCAUCUUGAAAGUGGGGGAGCUUUGUACAUGGUUGGCAAGCACUCUACCUACGUACGCUGCAACACCAGCCACACAUUGUUCAUGUAAUGUACUAGUUUCUUGUUUAAGCUAAACAGAAAAGUCAUUUUGUAGUUAUUGUUUAUUUGUUACUAUUGAGUUUUGCCAUGGUAGCACUCAGCUGACGAGAACACUCUCCAUAUUCAGCCUCUCCAACAUUGGAAUCACAGGCCCAUGUGCCACCCCACCCCACCCAGACAGGACUUCCUUUUGAUUCAAAAGGUACAAUUUAGGGACUAAUUUGAACUAUAAGUUUUACCCUCCCGGACUGGGACUAUAGCUUAAGGUCACGGGCCACUUUGAACAGGCAGUAUUGCCCACUGAGCUAUGUUCCUUGAGCACCAAGGUCCUGCACUAAGACCCAGGAUGCUGAUUGGGUCCCUUCUGGGGAUGACGUUCCCUGUUGAUGGACAUCGCUGCUCUCCUCAUCACAGCAAGCCAUGCGCACCCUGCUCAGUGCUUCAAGGAUAAAGGUGUUUCAGUACUCAGCAACCUUUUGGGUGAAAAAUUAGUCCUUAAAUCAGUACAGUGAGGAAAUCUAAUGACUCCCAAUAUCACGAAAGAUGAAAACUUAAAGCAAGUAAAUGAGAAGGGAAGAACUUCUAACUCAGUGUAACAUGUGUUCAAAACACCUCUUACUUGAUGGGGAAAUAUCUGAAGCCUUUGCUACCUAGGGUAGCAUACAUAAAGAUGAGGAAAAAACAAUUGAACAGAAGAUAGUCUUCUAUCUGGAGAAAAGUAUAAAAAUGAAUAGAAACAGGUUUACUGAGUACAAAUUAUUAAGAAGUUACAUGCGAGUGUUAAGAAGGAAACAUUAGACACUGUUAUAUCAACAAGUCAAGAAUAUGAAAGAUGUAAUUGAAAAAAAUCUUUGUAAGAAAGCAGAUGAAAGUAAAUAUAUGUUAAAAAUAAAACCUCUCUAAAGAACAUUAUAAUGUUUGGACAUGAUGGCAGACACCUUCAAUCUCAACAUCAUGGUUGCUGGAAUCAGAGUAUUCAUGUGUUUGAAGCCAGCACAAACUAUAUGUGAACUUAUCUCAAGAAAGAAGUGGGGAGGGAGAUGAGGGAGGGAGGUUGGGAGGGAGGGAAAGACAGAGGGGUUAUACACAACAUAAACACUUGGGAUAUAAAGCAUAUGGAUGGAUUGGAGCAGUACAGAUCAUCUAUGGAUUAAUUUCCUUUAUCUUAACCUGUAGACGCUAUAAUCCAAUCAAAUUGAUGUUUUUAAUCUGACUACCAUUCUCCUAUGUGGGUCCCAGGAGUGGAUUUGAUUCCAGCUGUCAGGCUUUGGGGCAAGCUCCUGUUUCUACUGAGCCAUCUUCCCUUUCUCAGUCUGUAUUUGUGUCCAUAGAAGAAGGGAGGGGACAAGCUCUUUCUAAAAUCUACUUAAAAGAGAAAAAAAAAAAAAAAAACAUGGUAGCCAAAGUACCUCCGGGAAGAAGGAGACACACCUCUUACCAGAGAGCUCAAAAAGUGAUUACACAGGUACAAUAACUUAGCAGUGUGACAUUGGCAGAGGAACAGACAAAUUGACCAAUACAGCCAAACAGGGACCCAAACCUUAGAUGGAAAAUGUGUGGACAUUUGAUUUACGAAAGGCUCGCUUUGACAAAUCACCCGGGAGAAGAACAAACCAUUACACGCACAGCACAGAGGCCAUAAUUUCCUAUUUUUCAAAACAUAUUUCUACCUCAGACAUGAAAGUUGACUUCAAACGGAUCAGAUACUCAGAUACAGAAAGUAAAAUGCUAAGACACUUAGAAGACAGAGGAACAUUUUCUGAACUCAGAUGUCAAAGGGAAAAGUAGAAAAAGAGAUCGUGCAGAGAGGACAACACUAAUGAAGCACUCAUUUCCGAUGUGGCCUCAAAAGGCAACAGCAACAGCAACAAAAACAGCAGCAGCAGCAGCAACAAACCUCCAGAAACAAACAAACAAAAUACAUUUACCAUCCGAUUAAAAUAACUAACAGAUUAGUACAUAAGCCACCUACAAAUCAGUCAGUCAGGGAUCAUUCAUGUUUAGAAAAGAAAUAAGAAACCCUAUUGUCAAUAAACCAACUACCUUAGUAAUCAAGGGAUAGAAAGUUAAAAUCAUUAAGAAUUUUCAUUAUCUAAUUAGCGAUUUCAUUGAAAAUGCCACACCCCAACCCUGACAGUAUUAAGUGCUCACUGGGCCCCCCAACCAUGGGACAGUGAAUGACAUGGGGAUCCCCAUAGCUGGGAAGCUGUCAUUGUCCCCUUCAGUAGCUUUUGUAGAGCAGACUACCUCAUCUUCACAGUAUUGACCUUUCAGACAACGUGGCUCUGUGCAGGGACAGUUUAGAACUGUCGUCCUCAAGAGAUCUUUGCAUGUUUCUGCUUUCUAUAUUAUUUAUGAAAUGACUAUAAAUAAUAGUUCUAGUGAAAAAUGAAAGGGGACUACGGGAAGCAGUACAGAUGCUUGGAGUAUAAUGGAAUAUUAUAUAACAGUGUACACGGUUGUGUGAUGUAAAGGGUUGAAAAUAUAUUAUUGUGUGAAUUAUAGACAGAUAUUCUCUUAUGUUACAGAAUGAAUAAUUACAUUGAGGUACAAACACAUAAAAUAAAGUUAUUUGGGGAGACGAGCAAGUCAUAAUAUUGCUUUGGUUAAGCAAGAGAUAUAAAGAGGUGGGCUACAGAUAAUGUCUAGCUGUGAUUGAAGCGAGGGAUUAGGGAAAUGUAACUGACAGACAUAGGGAUGAUGUCGGAGGUCAUUGUAGUUCCGCCCCCCCCCAACACUGGCUGGCAUUGUGUGGGUUUGUAUGACAUGGGUGUGUGGGUAUAGGUGCACACGUGUCUUGGCAUGGGUGAGAGUCAGUGGGCAUGUUUCAGCCGUUUGUCCCCUUGUUCCAUCAUGGGCUCUGGGGGUGGAAACUGGGUUGCCAUUUCAACUAGAAAGAUGAGUUCUUUUAUCGGUGAGUUCUUUAUCUGCUGAGCCAUUUGCCAGCCCCUAUAUUUUUAACUACUUAUUAUUUUUUCAAGUUUCAAGUCCACAAGUACUUUUAACUCUACAACAUAUAUAAUGUAGCCACUGACAGACUAGAAGAGAGUUUGUGUAGAUUUAAUAGGCUGUUUGUAUAUUUGAACAACUCAAAGAAAUUAUAAAUUAUUUUAGAAACUGAUUUAGAACAGCACACAGGUGAGUUCCAAUGCAACCAGUCAUCCAGCAAGACUGACUUCUAAAGCAAUGACUACUAGCAGGGAGUGUCCUGUACACUUUUAAUCCCAGCACUCAGGAAGCAGAGACAGUUGCGUCUCUGAGUUUGAGGCCAGCUUGGUGUACGAAGCAAGUUUCAGGACAGUCAGGGCUACCCAGAGAAACCCUGUAUCAACAAACAAACAAACAUACAAACACAAACAAACAAACAAAAAACCCAACCCAGCAAACAAAAAGCAGUUGCGACAAACAGCUCUUCUCGUUGACUUUAAUGGCAGACAUCAGGGCACAGAGAGAACGUUCUAAGGAGCCCAUCAAUUACUGUUUGGCUAGUAGGGACAAAUAUAUUUUUCUGUGAAAGGAAAAUCCCUGAGUUGAUAAGGAUAAGAUCAUGUGACCAUGGAAAAGGAGAGACUUGGCCUUGUCGGCCUUCCCUACUCUCAGACACACUCAGCCCCUCAGCAGGUAAUGAAUACUUUAGUAUAUCUUUUCAUGUCCUCUUGCCUCAGCCUCCAGAGUUCUAGGAUUAUAGAUGGGUGCUGCCAUGUCCAGCCAGACCUUUCCAACCUCAAAAAUAUUUGCACACUCCCUUGACUUACUUACUGCAAGGGGGGGGGGGGUGGUGAUUCGCUAACAUUAUUUCAGCCACAGUAAGAUUCUCUCAGAUUCACUACUUGUUUUGAUACUGAAUUUUUCUUUUCAUCCCAUACCAUGAGCAGGCUUUCUCACAAGGGAUUCUGGGCCUGAGAACCUUGUGGUGUGUGAGAUGCCCUGGGCUUGAUGCUCAGCCCCACACAAAGAAAACUAAAGUUGCAAAGAUAUCCAUAGUCUUUGUAAAAAGCAUAGUGCAGAACCCAUGCCUUUGCACAGGCUCCUUCAAGUGUUGAGAGCAAAGCCUCCAACCUGACAGUGGUUGCCACAAGGGAACCUACACACUGAGUUGUCAUGGAGAUUAGUUAGUUGAAUGUUGGUCUGCUGAUCUAAUGGGCUGAAGGGUUUCAUCUUCCUGUCCAGCCUUUCCUUCUUGUGAGCAUUCACUGUUGCCACUAAGCAGUAACGGACCACACUCUGAUCCACUAAGCACCAAUGUGAAAUUGCAGAACGUGCCUGAAUACAGGGAACACAUUGGUACCAGAAUUAAAAUGGUUUUUAAAACAGUAGUUUUCGUCACUUUAGAUACUUGAAAGAUAUAUUUUACCUAAUUAAUAUUUAUUUAUAUUUUAGUUCCUCCUGGAGUUAAAUAUAUAUCUAAUUUUAUGUGGUUUCAGUUUCUACUGGCGUUAAAUAUAUAUUUAAUUUGAUAUGAAUAUUCUAGUUGUAAGUUUGGCAUAGAGAAAUGUUUUUCAAUUAUAUCUGUAUAUAUUUUUAUUUAGUACUAAACAUGUUCUUUUAAAUAGUUUAUUAUUCAAGUAAGGCUUUUCUUUUGUGAAAAAUAAUAUAUAUUUAUUACAGGAAAAUCAGAAAAUGAAAUAAAGUAUUUAUUGAGUCAUACUCUUAACAAUCUGUGGAGCCCUUGAGUCUUCCCCCAACCCCACAAGAUAUUAUUAACCUAGUUGUUCCCAGCUCCUCACAUUUGUACUGUUUGUUCUCUGCCUGCCUUCUCACACUUCCUGAUGUUUAAUUAUUUCAAAGUGAUAUUUUUCUUCUGUGGAACUGUCCUUGCUUUCAUAGUUAAUGCUCAAGAAUCUCAGAGCAGGGCAUCACAGAAUAAAUACUAACUUGCUAAGAACUGUUUCUCACUGGCGCUUCUUAUUCGGUAAGAGGCAUCUGUUUAUUAUUUAGAUUGUAAAGAGGGCAUGAUCAAGACCAUAAUGAAAUGACUUGCUGGGUCAUAAAACCAUGAAGACAGUCAAGCCACACAUUUGAAUAAAAUCCUGCAGUAGCUAGUGGAAGUUGUGAUAUAUGGUUUAGAAAAUACACAUUUUAAAAUUCACAGAAGCUUCAAAGCCCUGGUCAGACAUAAAUUCCAAUCCGUUUUUCUGUAACGGUAAAACUCCAAAGGACUCUCGUUCGCAGGCUCUCAGUAUGUGUCACAGGUACACGGUCUCUCUCUGCAUGCAGAACGCAAAACGCGUUUAUUUCUGCCUCGGCGUAUAUUUUAAAAUAAAUUACCCCAGGAAACAAAAUGUUGAAUACACUGUAUUCAACUAUGAGCCAACAAAGGAGGCAAAACCUCUUUUCCUUUCUAAGAGCCUAUAUCAUAUUUGGUGAUAACAGUAGGGGGCUUGAGGUAUUUGAAAACAACACUCGUCAGACUUUCCUCUAGAGUUAGUGGGCAGGGUUCCCUUCAUCCUGUCCGUGUGCUGCUUCUUGCUUUUGCUCAGGAGUUUCAAAUAUAGGAAAGAGUUCUGUACUUACCAUUCUGGGAAAGAUGAAAUUCAUCAUUGAACCAUAAAUGCCCUGGAAAGCAAAGAAAAGAUUAUUAUUUAU